rnacentral:lncRNA from 1 species
UUAAAGCUGAACAUAAGCAUACUUUAAGGGUGUAACUGGUUAUUCAUAGAAGGAAUAUUAUGAAUUAAAGGAAUGAUUAUUUUUGGAAUAAGAAAAAAUGGAAUGAUAGAUUAAAUGGAAUAAAAACUGAAAAUAUUUUUGGAAUGGCUUUCCACUCAUUCACGAAGGAUUAUGAUCCUGAAUAAAAGGAACAACAUUUACAAAGGAUUUACUUUUUUGUUCCAUUCCAAAAAUGGAAUAUAUGGAAUUGUUUUUAAAAAGUUUUCAUGGUAACUGGUAAACAUUUUAUGGAAACAUGUGGAAUGACCCAUUCCAAAGAGUUUUAUUCCACAAAAUAGCAUUCCAGUUACACCCUAA